rnacentral:rRNA from 1 species
GGAGUUUGGUCCGUGUCUCAGUACCAAUGUGGGGGACCUUCCUCUCAGAACCCCUACUGAUCGUAGGCUUGGUGGGCCGUUACCCCGCCAACAACCUAAUCAGACGCAUCCCCAUCCUAUAGCGGUGAACCUUUGCUUCACGUUAGAUGUCCGCUGUGAAGAAUAUAGGGUAUUAAUCCGAUUUUCACCGGGCUAUCCCCUACUAAGGGGAAGUUGGAUACGCGUUACUCACCCGUGCGCCGGUCGCCAUCAGUCAAAGCAAGCUUUGACCAUGAUGCCCCUCGACUUGCAUGUGUUAAGCCUGUAGCUAGCGUUCAUC